UUCUAAUUGUUAUGAAUACCAUGGCAAAAUUAAUAGUUCUAUGGUUGGUUUAUUACAUUUAGUAAAAUUUCCUUAAUCAUGUAAAGAUGAUAAUUUAGUUGUUACACUUGUUGAAAUGAUGGGAUUAAUUUUUAAAAAGUUUGCAAACUGGAAGAGAAAUGUAAAACAUUAAUUUAGUUAGACAAGCAAGCUGACAACUGACAAAUCCUUUCAGCCAAACCUG
rnacentral:lncRNA from 1 species